rnacentral:lncRNA from 1 species
GCGGGCCGAGGGCCGGCGGCCGCGCGAACCGGCGGCGACACCGAGGCAACAGCACGGAUGCCGGAGGCGCCGGCGCCGGAAGGGCCGAGCGAUCCUGCGCGGAGGGGAGAUUAGCCGAAAAAGAGGGGCGGGAAAGAAGGGCGGGCACUUGAGUGAGAACGUUAGAAGUAACGUUAAAAGCUCUCACUAUGAAGGCGGAAUGAAGAAGAGAGAGGAGGCUGGCGCCAAAGAGAGCCAGCCUGUACGACUUCCUCAUGGAAGCUCGCUUAGAGGCUUCAUUCCCUCCGGCCCCUUCGGGGCCUCCGGUCCUCCGCCUCUAACCCCACGCACUAGCUACACUGAGGCAGCGUGGUAUGAGGUGGUUGUGGGGUUAGUUGUUUGCCCGAGCCUAACGAGAUAGGUCCCAACUAUGGGCUGGGCGGUGGGGUCGGGGAGGCCAGGGGCGGUAAAAAGGCGGGCUGUUGAUGCCGGUUUGGCGGUUUUCCUUGCUGGGUUGGAGUUGAUCACGUUUUGGUGCACAUGACGAACUGUGGAGCGCAAGAUAUCAUGGAAGGGAGGCGAAACGAGAAAGGCACUCAGGUGACUUCAGGCGAGAGAAGAAUACAGAGCAAGCACACAGGGGCAUGGGCGUCCCAAUACCCCGAAUGGACACACACACGUACCGUAAUAAGUACGGUCAUACCUGACAAGCCGCCACAGGUAGGGUGUAGGCUUGCGGUGUAGGCUCCGCGUAUUGACUAUAAUGACCUGCAAUGCACACUUCUUGCCAUAUCUGCGAGGUUGAAAAAUGUUGAGACUUAAUGCGCAGUACGGUACUACACAUGCGUAGUGCUACUACCGUACUGCAAAUUGUGGUUCAUGACGGCUUGGACGCAAUGUCUUGUGACAAUAAUGUCUUGGCCUGCUGAACGCAUACCAGCAGGGCUUUGUGCCCUUCAGCAGGCUCGUGCCCAUGUUGAUAACACAAGUAUUAUACAGUACAACCGGUCGUACUGUAUGGGCACCUACAUGCGCAAUCAGAGGCCUACAGAUUGUACAGAGGCGACUGGCCUAAACCAGCCCUGACCUGAUACUCAGCCCCCAAUCCAACCCAACCCCGCCCCGGACUCAUCCCCCAAACCCGGACCCAGCCCUGCGGCAGUCCAAGAGCACCACCCUCACUACCUCAGAGGCUCAGACUACCCACUCUCGGUCCAGAACCCAGAGGCCAGUAAAGAGGAUGUCGGUCACAAAGGCGUGCCGACCCCCCAGAGAUGACAGGAUACUUUUUUCGCCUAACUUUAUCGCCGCGUGUCAAUAGCUGUCGGGGCAGAUCGCGUGCCGUAGAGGGGGCUCUUCGAUCCCAGCAGUGCCCAGCGCCGCCGUAUGGGGACGUCGGUAGCUGUUUUACUCACGGGAGGGGCUUCGCUGUUUGGUCUAGGCGGGUUGGAUAACAGGAGCAGGGGCUCGUACAGAGCCGGAUGGGUGGCGUGCGUGCAGGCGCACAGCCGUGGCACAGGCUGUCUUACUCAACCUUGCCGCCCAGGGUGAUCAGAGAUUAGAGAGAUAAGGUCGGGCGGGUUGCCCAAGUAGAGUCACCGCCGCUGGCGGGAGCUGGGGUUACCCUUCGCGUGCGGGGCACGCGGCGGGUGGUAGAGAGAGGAAGGGAGAGGGGCGGGGAGACAGGAAAGCAAGCAGGUCCCGCAAGCCGGCACGGCGUGUCGGAGACUUGGUCACACGCAGGUCAGGCAGACCAGGUGCAGGGGUAAGCAAAACUUCUUCAGACCAGAGGUGUCGCAGUCGAC